GUACCCCCCCCAAAGGCCCGGCCACCGGAUGGGCCAACACAAACCCCAGCCCAAGGGGGGGUGGCGAGGCAGCACAGAACCCCCACCGGUACAAACCCACCGAGGGGGCGGAACAGCCGAGACUAACCAGGGCAGCGGAGCCGUUGGGACAGGCCGGGGAGGCGGAGCCGGCGGAGGGUUGACAGCCGGGAGAGCCGACGGAGGGUCGGGAGCCGGGAGAGCCGACGGAGGGUCGGGAGCCGGGAGAGCCGACGGAGGGUCGGGAGCCGGGAGAGCCGACGGAGCGGCCGGGCCAGUAGAGGACCCCUUGGCGACCGGGACUGGAGAGGGCACCGAGGCGGCCGGGACUGGAGAGGGCGCCGAGGCGGCCGGGCCGGUAGAGCAAGCUCUGGCGGUGCAGGCCACUCCUCUUCGGGCUCAGGCGGCUGAGGCCACUCCUGGCAGGGUUGGGUAUGACAAUCUUCAUGAAGACAGACACUACAGCUAUGUUUACAACCAUGAUCACCACGGGUGUUGAAACCGGUAUAGCACCAGUCACAGACAUAAGACACACCCAGAAAACCCUUCAGAUUCAUGAUGCCAUAGAAAUGGUUAUCGUCUCGGAGGAACUGCUGUGCGAGGACUGGGCCUAUGAGUGCUUUUAGAUGGAGGAGGGGCCCACGGUGGCACCUGCUGCUCGUUGAGAAGAUAUGCACCAUACCAAGAUGACGGAGACGGAUUCGAGCCAUCGUGCACAUAGAACAAGAAUGAUAUGCGAGUACUACAGAAUGUGUCGUGUUUCUCCAUCCGAUUGGGUACCCAAUAGAACAACGGAGUGGUGGGAAACUGUGGUUCCAACUUUCACCGUAUGUUUCCGUAUGUCUAAGGACACAUUUCUGUGCAUGUGCCGUCGAUUGCAACCAGAACUGGGGAGACAUUACACAAAAUACAGUUGUUGUGUACCCAUUCAAAAAAGAAUCACCAUUGCACUGUGGAAACCUGCAACCAACUCAGAGUACAGGAGCAUCUCUCAUUUGUUUGGAGUCGGCAUUACUACGGUAUGUCACUGUGUACACGAUUUCUGCUCCUCUGUAGAGAAUGUACUCAUGGCCGAAGUUAUUCAGUGACCAAACAGUGAGAAGUUAAAGGAAAUGGCGACAUAUUUUGAGCGCAGAUGGGGGUUGCCACAGUGUGUUGGUGCAAUUGAUGGAACACACAUCCCCAUUCUGGGACCAGAGGAAUACCACACUGAGUAUUCCAACCGCAAGGGCUGGCAUUUGAUCAUCCUGCAGGCUGUUGUGGAUGGAAGAGGUCUCUUUUGCAAUGUUUUUACUGGAGCAGCAGGGAGCCUGCAUCAUGCCAGAGUGCUGCACUUGUCAGGGUUGUGGGGUCUAGUGAAUAUGGGUUUGCUGCUCCCUGAUGAAACAAAGAUAAUGUGUGGACAUGAUGUGGGGUACUAUGUCCUUGGUGACACAGCCUAUCCUUUGAAAAGCUGGUUGAUGAAACCUUUCACAGACUAUGGACGGUUGAAAUCCCAAACAGAGCCCGGGUGGUGGUUGAGAACACUUUUGGCAGACUGAAGGGCAGAUGGAGGUGCUUGUUAAAACGAAAUGACUGCAACAUACACAAGAUGAAAUCCAUGGUGAUCGCAUGUUGUGUUCUGCAUAACCUCUGUGAAAUAAAUGGUGAUGAGUAGCGAGAAGAAUGGGGUGUCUCUGGAUUAAACCAGCCUGCUGGGGCACUGCCAUCCACUGUAGAGGCCGAGGGGCUAAUGAGGUUUCUCAACACAUUGUGAAGUGUCAGAUUACUGCUUAGAGCAGUGGUUCCCAACCAGGGGUACUAGGACCCCUGGGGGUACUUGGCCUCUCCACAGGGGGUACUUCAUAACACUCAUGACACCAUAGGCUUACUAGUGAAAUUAACAUGAGGGGGUAUUGAAAGCAGUGCAAAAACAUUUUGGGGUUACAGUAACUGAAAAGGGUUUUGGGAGACACUGGCUUAGAGAGCUGAAGAUGUCAGUUACAAAAACAUAUUUAUUUCAAAAACUUCUGAUUUCCAUUUCUAAUGUCAAGUAAAUGGUUUAAAUAAUCAAUUAUUAACUGUGUGCUG
ensembl:lncRNA